rnacentral:rRNA from 1 species
UACGUAGGGUGCAAGCGUUAAUCGGAAUUACUGGGCGUAAAGCGUGCGCAGGCGGUUCUAUAAGACAGAUGUGAAAUCCCCGGGCUUAACCUGGGAACUGCGUUUGAAACUACAAGGCUAGAGUGUGGCAGAGGGGGGUGGAAUUCCACGUGUAGCAGUGAAAUGCGUAGAGAUGUGGAGGAACACCGAUGGCGAAGGCAGCCCCCUGGGUUAACACUGACGCUCAGGCACGAAAGCGUGGGGAGCAAACAGG